rnacentral:rRNA from 1 species
GACGAACGCUGGCGGCGUGCUUAACACAUGCAAGUCGAACGGUAAGGCCCCUCGGGGUACACGAGUGGCGAACGGGUGAGUAACACGUGGGUGAUCUGCCCUGCACUUCGGGAUAAGCCUGGGAAACUGGGUCUAAUACCGGAUAGGACCAUUGCCUGCAUGGGUGGUGGUGGAAAGCUUUUGCGGUGUGGGAUGGGCCCGCGGCCUAUCAGCUUGUCGGUGGGGUGAUGGCCUACCAAGGCGACGACGGGUAGCCGGCCUGAGAGGGUGACCGGCCACACUGGGACUGAGAUACGGCCCAGACUCCUACGGGAGGCAGCAGUGGGGAAUAUUGCACAAUGGGCGCAAGCCUGAUGCAGCGACGCCGCGUGAGGGAUGACGGCCUUCGGGUUGUAAACCUCUUUCAGCAUCGACGAAGCGCAAGUGACGGUAGGUGCAGAAGAAGGACCGGCCAACUACGUGCCAGCCGCCGCCGUAA